rnacentral:rRNA from 1 species
UACGAGUGCCUCAAGCGUUAUCCGGAAUUAUUGGGCGUAAAGGAUGUGUAGGUGGUUGUGUUAGUCUUUUGUUAAAUUCUUCGGCUUAACCGGGGGCAUGCAAAAGAAACGGCACAACUCGAGGAUGCGAGGGGUCUGCGGAACUCAUAGUGUAGCAGUGAAAUGCGUUGAUAUUAUGGGGAACACCAAAAGCGAAGGCAGCAGACUGGAGCACUCCUGACACUGAAACAUGAAAGCGUGGGUCGCGAAUGGG